UAUGAAAUACAGUAACAAUUUGUAACACCUCUUACUCGAUUCAAUCAUCGGGUUCAAGUUAAAGGAUGCCACAUUCGUUUCCAGAGAAACUUUCGUUAAAAUACAAUAAAUAUAUCAAAAAAACAAACAUUUAUGACUUAAACACAUUCAUAAUAUGAUUAACAACUAAAUCUAAGCCUUAAUCGAGCUUAAAAAAGCUCUUUUGUUGACUCGAGCAUAAAUUAGGACCAAAUUGUAAAGUUUUGAAAAUCUAAGAUCUCCUCCAUAUUGUGACGUCGUCAAACAGUUUGUCAUGUCGCGAUGUCUGGGCACUUAACGUUGGGACGUCACAAAC
rnacentral:lncRNA from 1 species